rnacentral:rRNA from 1 species
CAGUCGCCGCGGGAACACGAACCGUGCGAACGUUAUUCGGAAUUACUGGGCUUAAAGCGCGUGUAGGCGGCUGGGCGCGUCGGAUGUUGAAAGCCCCCGGCUCAACCGGGGAAGUGGCACCGAUACGGCCGAGCUGGAGGAAGGUAGGGGGGUCUGGAACUUCCGGUGGAGCGGUGAAAUGCGUUGAGAUCGGAAAGAACACCAACGGCGGAAGCACUCUGCUGGGCCGACACUGACACUGAGAGACGAAAGCUAGGGGAGCAAAUGGGAUUAGAUACCCCCGUAGUCCCUGUCUCUUAUA